AUGGAUUCAGAGGACGACACGCGCGACUCCGCCGACGAGGACUUCUACAGCGGCGGCGAGGCGGGCCUCGCCCUCAGCGACGACGGGGACGCGGACUACGAUUUCGCCGACCGCGACUCCGAUGACUCGGAUGACCUAAUCUCCCACAGGCAGCAGCAAAACUACAGUGUACUGAGUGAAACUGACAUAAAGCAACAUCAAGCAGAUGACAUGAAUCGGGUUUCAACUGUUCUUUCAAUUUCGAAAUCAGAAGCUUGCGCCCUUCUUCGCAGUUAUAACUGGAGCGUUAGUAAGGUGCAUGACGAGUGGUUUGUUGAUGAAGCACGAGUUCGUACUGCCGUUGGUUUACCGGAGAAGCAAAACGAAAUGCCAAAUGAAAGAGAACUUACGUGUGGGAUUUGCUUUGAAAGUUGUCCACGUGAGUCAAUGGGUGCUGCUUCAUGUGGGCAUCCUUUCUGUGGUGUAUGUUGGAGAGGCUAUAUUAGCACAGCUAUAAAUGAUGGUCCAGGAUGUUUGAUGUUGAGAUGUCCUGAUCCAUCCUGUUCUGCUGCUGUUGGACAAGAUAUGGUUAAUUUAUUCGCUAGUGACGAGGAUAAGGGGAAGUAUGAACGAUAUCUUUGCAGAUCUUACAUUGAAGAUAAUAGAAAAACAAAAUGGUGUCCUGCUCCGGGCUGCGAGUAUGCUGUGGAAUUUGUCGUUGGCAGUGGCAGCUAUGAUGUUUCUUGUGGCUGUUCUUACGGGUUCUGUUGGAACUGCACGGAGGAAGCUCAUCGCCCUGUAGACUGUUCCACAGUUUCCAAAUGGAUUCUCAAGAAUAGUGCGGAAUCCGAGAAUAUGAACUGGAUACUAGCUAAUUCGAAGCCUUGUCCCAAGUGCAAGCGGCCUAUUGAAAAAAACCAGGGCUGCAUGCACAUUACGUGCACACCGCCAUGUAAAUUUGAAUUCUGCUGGCUUUGUCUUGGUCCAUGGUCAGAUCACGGGGAGAGAACAGGUGGUUUUUAUGCUUGUAACCGUUAUGAGGCAGCAAGGCAAGAAGGAGCGUUUGAUGAUUCUGAAAGGAGAAGAGAAAUGGCAAAGAAUUCCCUCGAGAGAUAUACACAUUACUAUGAGCGAUGGGCAGCCAAUCAGUCAUCAAGGCAAAAGGCGCUUGGGGAUCUGCAGAGUCUGCAGAAUGAUAAGCUUGAAAAGCUAAGUGACAUACAAAGCCAACCUGAGUCACAGCUUAAGUUCAUAAUUGAAGCAUGGUUACAGAUUGUUGAAUGUAGGCGGGUAUUGAAGUGGACUUACGCAUAUGGUUAUUACCUUCCAGACCAUGAACAUGCCAAAAGGCAGUUCUUCGAAUACGUUCAAGGUGAAGCAGAAUCUGGUUUGGAACGCCUUCAUCAGUGUGCGGAGAAAGAACUUCAGAUCUAUCUCGAUGCAGACUGCCCAUCUAAAGAUUUUAAUGACUUCCGUACAAAGUUGGCUGGAUUGACCAGCGUAACUCGCAAUUAUUUCGAAAACCUGGUCCGUGCAUUGGAGUCUGGAUUGAAUGAUGUUGGAGCUCAUAGCGGCCAAGGUGCAUGUAGCAAGGCCGUAAGCUCCAAGAACCUUGGCGGUAAGAGCAAGAGUGGCAAGAACAAGGCACCUGUUGGUGCCUCGAAGUCAGGCAGCUCAACCCGUGGUAUGGAUGAUGGGAACAUCUGGGCCUGUGAUCAGUGCACGUUUGCAAACCCUAGGUCUGCUAGGAGCUGCCAGAGGCACAUGGCGCAUGAAGUUACUGGCCUCUAG
rnacentral:rRNA from 1 species